rnacentral:rRNA from 1 species
GGACUACAGGGGUAUCUAAUCCUGUUUGCUCCCCACGCUUUCGUGCCUCAGUGUCAGUAUCUGUCCAGAAAGUCGCCUUCGCCACUGAUGUUCCUUCCGAUAUCUACGCAUUUCACUGCUACACCGGAAAUUCCACUUCCCUCUACAGUACUCUAGCCUAACAGUAUCAGACGCAGUCCCCAGGUUAAGCCCGGGAAUUUCACAUCUGACUUACUAAACCACCUACGCACCCUUUACGCCCAGUAAUUCCGAUUAACGCUCGCACCCUCUGUAUUACCGCGGCUGCUGGCAC